rnacentral:misc_RNA from 1 species
CCAAUAGCGUAUAUUAAAGUUGCUGCAGUUAAAAAGCUCGUAGUUGAAUUUCGGGACCAAUAUGUCGGUCGUGCUUCGGUACGUACUGUCAUAAUUGGUUUCUCCCUUCUGAAGAACCUUGAUGUCAUUAAUUUGGUGUCUUGGGGAAUCAGGACUGUUACUUUGAAAAAAUUAGAGUGUUUAAAGCAUGCUCGCGCUUGAAUACAUUAGCAUGGAAUAAUGAAAUAGGACGUUUGAUUCUAUUUUGUUGGUUUCUAGGAUCGACGUAAUGAUUAAUAGGGAUAGUUGGGGGCAUUAGUAUUCAAUUGUCAGAGGUGAAAUUCUUGGAUUUAUUGAAGACUAACUACUGCGAAAGCAUUUGCCAAGGAUGUUUUCAUUAAUCAAGAACGAAAGUUAGGGGAUCGAAGACGAUCAGAUACCGUCGUAGUCUUAACCAUAAACUAUGCCGACUAGGGAUCGGAUGAUGUUAAUUUUUUAAUGACUCAUUCGGCGCCUUACG